rnacentral:rRNA from 1 species
UACAGAGGUCCCAAGCGUUGUUCGGAUUCACUGGGCGUAAAGGGCGCGUAGGCGGCCUGCUAAGUCGAACGUGAAAUCCCUGGGCUCAACCCAGGAACUGCGUCCGAUACUGGUUGGCUUGAAUCCGGGAGAGGGAUGUGGAAUUCCAGGUGUAGCGGUGAAAUGCGUAGAUAUCUGGAGGAACACCGGUGGCGAAGGCGACAUCCUGGACCGGUAUUGACGCUGAGGCGCGAAAGCCAGGGGAGCGAACGGG